rnacentral:rRNA from 1 species
UGUCCGGAUUUACUGGGUGUAAAGGGUGCGUAGGCGGCUUUGCAAGUCAGAUGUGAAAUCUAUGGGCUCAACCCAUAGCCUGCAUUUGAAACUGCAGAGCUUGAGUGAAGUAGAGGCAGGCGGAAUUCCCCGUGUAGCGGUGAAAUGCGUAGAGAUGGGGAGGAACACCAGUGGCGAAGGCGGCCUGCUGGGCUUUAACUGACGCUGAGGCACGAAAGCGUGGGUAGCAAACAGGAUUAGAUACCCUGGUAGUCCACGCUGUAAACGAUGAUUACUAGGUGUGGGGGGUCUGACCCCUUCCGUGCCGGAGUUAACACAAUAAGUAAUCCACCUGGGGAGUACGGCCGCAAG